rnacentral:rRNA from 1 species
GUUUCAGCCGCCGCGGUAAUACGGAAGGUCCGGGCGUUAUCCGGAUUUAUUGGGUUUAAAGGGAGCGUAGGCCGGAGAUUAAGCGUGUUGUGAAAUGUAGAUGCUCAACAUCUGCACUGCAGCGCGAACUGGUUUCCUUGAGUACGCACAAAGUGGGCGGAAUUCGUGGUGUAGCGGUGAAAUGCUUAGAUAUCACGAAGAACUCCGAUUGCGAAGGCAGCUCACUGGAGCGCAACUGACGCUGAAGCUCGAAAGUGCGGGUAUCGAACAGGAUUAGAUACCCUGAUAGUCCGCACGGUAAACGAUGGAUGCCCGCUGUUGGUCUGAAUAGGUCAGCGGCCAAGCGAAAGCAUUAAGCAUCCCACCUGGGGAGUACGCCGGCAACGGUGAAACUCAAAGGAAUUGACGGGGGCCCGCACAAGCGGAGGAACAUGUGGUUUAAUUCGAUGAUACGCGAGGAACCUUACCCGGGCUUGAAUUGCAGAGGAAGGAUUUGGAGACAAUGACGCCCUUCGGGGUCUCUGUGAAGGUGCUGCAUGGUUGUCGUCAGCUCGUGCCGUGAGGUGUCGGCUUAAGUGCCAUAACGAGCGCAACCCCUCUCCUUAGUUGCCAUCAGGUCAGGCUGGGCACUCUGGGGACACUGCCACCGUAAGGUGUGAGGAAGGUGGGGAUGACGUCAAAUCAGCACGGCCCUUACGUCCGGGGCUACACACGUGUUACAAUGGCAGGUACAGAGAGAUGGUGUUCUGCAAAGCGCAUCUAAUCCUUAAAGCCUGUCUCAGUUCGGACUGGGGUCUGCAACCCGACCCCACGAAGCUGGAUUCGCUAGUAAUCGCGCAUCAGCCAUGGCGCGGUGAAUACGUUCCCGGGCCUUGUACACACCGCCCGUCAAAC